AUGAACGCUAGCUACAGGCUUAACACAUGCAAGUCGAGGGGCAGCAUGGCCUUAGCUUGCUAAGGCCGAUGGCGACCGGCGCACGGGUGAGUAACACGUAUCCAACCUGCCGUCUACUCUUGGACAGCCUUCUGAAAGGAAGAUUAAUACAAGAUGGCAUCAUGAGUCCGCAUGUUCACAUGAUUAAAGGUAUUCCGGUAGACGAUGGGGAUGCGUUCCAUUAGAUAGUAGGCGGGGUAACGGCCCACCUAGUCUUCGAUGGAUAGGGGUUCUGAGAGGAAGGUCCCCCACAUUGGAACUGAGACACGGUCCAAACUCCUACGGGAGGCAGCAGUGAGGAAUAUUGGUCAAUGGGCGAGAGCCUGAACCAGCCAAGUAGCGUGAAGGAUGACUGCCCUAUGGGUUGUAAACUUCUUUUAUAAAGGAAUAAAGUCGGGUAUGGAUACCCGUUUGCAUGUACUUUAUGAAUAAGGAUCGGCUAACUCCGUGCCAGCAGCCGCGGUAAUACGGAGGAUCCGAGCGUUAUCCGGAUUUAUUGGGUUUAAAGGGAGCGUAGAUGGAUGUUUAAGUCAGUUGUGAAAGUUUGCGGCUCAACCGUAAAAUUGCAGUUGAUACUGGAUAUCUUGAGUGCAGUUGAGGCAGGCGGAAUUCGUGGUGUAGCGGUGAAAUGCUUAGAUAUCACGAAGAACUCCGAUUGCGAAGGCAGCCUGCUAAGCUGCAACUGACAUUGAGGCUCGAAAGUGUGGGUAUCAAACAGGAUUAGAUACCCUGGUAGUCCACACGGUAAACGAUGAAUACUCGCUGUUUGCGAUAUACUGCAAGCGGCCAAGCGAAAGCGUUAAGUAUUCCACCUGGGGAGUACGCCGGCAACGGUGAAACUCAAAGGAAUUGACGGGGGCCCGCACAAGCGGAGGAACAUGUGGUUUAAUUCGAUGAUACGCGAGGAACCUUACCCGGGCUUAAAUUGCAUUUGAAUAAUCUGGAAACAGGUCAGCCGCAAGGCUAAUGUGAAGGUGCUGCAUGGUUGUCGUCAGCUCGUGCCGUGAGGUGUCGGCUUAAGUGCCAUAACGAGCGCAACCCUUGUUGUCAGUUACUAACAGGUUCCGCUGAGGACUCUGACAAGACUGCCAUCGUAAGAUGUGAGGAAGGUGGGGAUGACGUCAAAUCAGCACGGCCCUUACGUCCGGGGCUACACACGUGUUACAAUGGGGGGUACAGAGGGCCGCUACCACGCGAGUGGAUGCCAAUCCCCAAAACCUCUCUCAGUUCGGACUGGAGUCUGCAACCCGACUCCACGAAGCUGGAUUCGCUAGUAAUCGCGCAUCAGCCACGGCGCGGUGAAUACGUUCCCGGGCCUUGUACACACCGCCCGUCAAGCCAUGGGAGCCGGGGGUACCUGAAGUGCGUAACCGCGAGGAGCGCCCUAGGGUAAAACUGGUGACUGGGGCU
rnacentral:rRNA from 1 species